UAGCUAGUUGGUGAGGUAAAGGCUUACCAAGGCGACGAUCUGUAGCGGGUCUGGGAGGAUGAUCCGCCACACUGGAACUGAGACACGGUCCAGACUCCUACGGGAGGCAGCAGUGGGGAAUUUUGGACAAUGGGGGCAACCCUGAUCCAGCCAUGCCGCGUGAGUGAAGAAGGCCUUCGGGUUGUAAAGCUCUUUCGGCCGGGCAGAAAUCGCAUGGGCCAAUACCCUGUGUGGAUGACGGUACCGGAAUAAGAAGCACCGGCUAACUACGUGCCAGCAGCCGCGGUAAUACGUAGGGUGCGAGCGUUAAUCGGAAUUACUGGGCGUAAAGCGUGCGCAGGCGGUUUUGUAAGACAGGCGUGAAAUCCCCGGGCUUAACCUGGGAACUGCGUUUGUGACUGCAAGGCUAGAGUACGGCAGAGGGGGGUGGAAUCCCACGUGUAGCAGUGAAAUGCGUAGAGAUGUGGAGGAACACCAAUGGCGAAGGCAGCCCCCUGGGUCGAUACUGACGCUCAUGCACGAAAGCGUGGGUAGCAAACAGGAUUAGAUACCCUGGUAGUCCACGCCCUAAACUAGGUCAACUAGGUGUUGGGUGGGUAAAACCAUUUAGUACCGUAGCUAACGCGUGAAGUUGACCGCCUGGGGAGUACGGCCGCAAGGUUAAAACUCAAAGGAAUUGACGGGGACCCGCACAAGCGGUGGAUGAUGUGGAUUAAUUCGAUGCAACGCGAAAAACCUUACCUACCCUUGACAUGCCAGGAACUUGCCAGAGAUGGCUUGGUGCCCGAAAGGGAGCCUGGACACAGGUGCUGCAUGGCUGUCGUCAGCUCGUGUCGUGAGAUGUUGGGUUAAGUCCCGCAACGAGCGCAACCCUUGUCGUUAAUUGCCAUCAUUUAGUUGGGCACUUUAACGAGACUGCCGGUGACAAACCGGAGGAAGGUGGGGAUGACGUCAAGUCCUCAUGGCCCUUAUGGGUAGGGCUUCACACGUCAUACAAUGGUCGGUACAAAGGGUUGCCAAGCCGCGAGGCGGAGCCAAUCCCAGAAAGCCGAUCGUAGUCCGGAUUGCAGGCUGCAACUCGCCUGCAUGAAGUCGGAAUCGCUAGUAAUCGUGGAUCAGCAUGUCACGGUGAAUACGUUCCCGGGUCUUGUACACACCGCCCGUCACACCAUGGGAGCGGGUUCCGCCAGAAGUAGGUAGCCUAACCGCAAGGGGGGCGCUUACCACGGCGGGGUUCGUGACUGGGGUGAAGUCGGAACAAGGUAGCCGUAGGGGAACCUGCGGCUG
rnacentral:rRNA from 1 species